rnacentral:rRNA from 1 species
UACACAGACAGUGAGGAUGUUGGCUUAGAAGCAGCCACCAUUUAAAAAAUGCGUAAUAGCUUACUCAUCGAGUGAUCCUGCGCCGAAAAUGAUUGGCGAUCAAGCGUUAUACCGAAGCUCUGGACUUUGCCGCAAGGCAGAGUGGUAGAAGAGCGUUGCAUGCGCGUCGAAGGGCGAUGGCGACUGACCCUGGAGCACAUGCAAGUGAGUAUGCAGACAUGAGUAACGUUAAGCCGGGUGAAAUCCCCGGCCGCCGUAAACCCGAGGUUUCCAGGGCAACGUGUUUCGUCCCUGGGUUAGCCGGGACCUAAGCCGAGGCCGAGAGGCGUAGGCGAUGGACAUCAGGUUAAUAAUCCUGAGCUCGCAACCCUUAAACUGGGGGGACGCAUGAGAAAAGAUGACUAGGUUAUUGAAUUCCGAGUUGAGUCCACGGACUCAGCGCAUCAUUGGAUCGAGUGCCAAGAAAAGCCCCAGCGUAUGCUAAGCGACCCGUACCGCAAACCGACACAGGUGGGUGGGUAGAAUAUACCAAGGCGUAAGAGUGAAACCUGGUUAAGGAACUCGGCAAAUUAGCCCCGUAACUUCGGAAGAAGGGGUGCCUGCAGCGAUGCAGGCCGCAGAGAAAUGGCCCAACCGACUGUUUAUCAAAAACACAGCACUCUGCAAAGACGCAAGUCGAAGUAUAGGGUGUGACACGUGACCAAUGCCGAAAGAUUAAGGCAAGGGGUUAGCCGCAAGGCGAAGCUCUAAACCCAAGUCCCGGUGAAUGUCGGCCGUAACUAUAACGGUCCUAAGGUAGCGAAAUUCCUUGUCGGGUAAGUUCCGACCUGCACGAAUCGUGAAACGAGUUGGGCACUGUCUCAACCAGGCGCUCAGUGAAAUUGUAGUGGCGGUGAAGAUGCCGCCUACCCGCAGAAGGACGGAAAGACCCUAUAGACCUUAACUGUAAGCUGUCAUUGUUUCUUCGGUUUUAAUGCUCAGAGUAAGUGGGAGACGCUGAAGACGCCCUUUAGGGGGCGUCCGAGUCAUCAAUGAGACACCACCCUUUGAAACUGGAGGAUCUAACCCUGAGCCGUGAAUCCGGCCAGAGGACCGUGUCAGCCGGUCAGUUUUACUGGGGCGGUAUCCUCCCAAAGAGUAACGGAGGAGCGCGAAGGUGGGCUCAGCCCGGUUGGCAACCGGGUGUCGAGUGCAUGGGCAUAAGCCCGCCUAACUGUGAGACCAACAAGUCGAGCAGAUGCGAAAGCAGGCCCAAGUGAUCCGGCGGUAGAAAGUGGAAUUGCCGUCGCUCAACGGAUAAAAGGUACCUUAGGGAUAACAGGCUGAUCACGCCCAAGAGUUCAUAUCGACGGCGUGGUUUGGCACCUCGAUGUCGGCUCGUCGCAUCCUGGGGCUGGAGAAGGUCCCAAGGGUUGGGCUGUUCGCCCAUUAAAGUGGC